rnacentral:SRP_RNA from 1 species
GGUCGGGCCCCAUGCAAUGGGUCCUACAGGUAACGGGUCAGGGUGGAAACACAGCAGCCCACCUGCAGUGCACAGGUGCCGUGGAUCAGCCUGGCCGUC